UUGAGGAAUAUUGCGCAAUGGGCGAAAGCCUGACGCAGCGACGCCGCGUGGAGGAUGAAGGUCUUCGGAUUGUAAACUUCUGUUAAGUGGGAAGAAAGGGCUGUUUUUAAUAGAAGCAGUUAAUGACGGUACCAUUAAAGAAAGCACCGGCUAAACUCGUGCCAGCAGCCGCGGUAAUACGAGUGGUGCAAGCGUUAUUCGGAAUAAUUGGGCGUACAGGGUGUGUAGGCGGUAUGUUAAGUCUGUUGUUAAAGACUCCGGCCUAACCGGAGACAGGCAGCGGAAACUGGCGUACUAGAGGGUGGAAGAGAGAAGUGGAAUUCUCGGUGUAGCGGUAAAAUGCGUAGAUAUCGAGAGGAACACCGAUGGCGAAGGCAGCUUCUUGGUCCAUACCUGACGCUGAAACACGAAAGCGUGGGGAGCAAACAGGAUUAGAAACCCCUGUAGUCC
rnacentral:rRNA from 1 species